ACUUUUAAAGGAUAACAGCUAAUCCACUGGUCUUAGGAA
rnacentral:tRNA from 1 species